rnacentral:lncRNA from 9 species
CCCUCCUGCUGGGCUGGCCCAGGACACUGCUUCUGGACAGGGAGUGGUGACGGGCCAGCCAGGCCCCAGAGGAGAAGCAGCAGGCAGCCUGGGGAGCACGGGCACACGUGGGACUGGUCCUCCUUCCCAGCCCAACCAGGAGCCUGGAAGGAGCACAGAGCAAUGGCAGCCCGAAGAAAAGGCCAGUACAGCCUGUGGAAGUCCUCUCUGGACAGCAUGUGAGUAGCCACUAGGUGCUGUCAACUCCUUCCCCAUCAAGUUCUACACCCCAAACAUUCAUCCACUCAGCAAGGAUUUAUUGAGCGUCUCUUGAGUGUUGCCAGAGAGCAAGACCAGCACAAGGGUACUCUUUUGAAUAAGUAUAGUUCCUUCCCUAAAGAAUCCUCAGUACUGUGUGAGGGACAGAGUGACCGAGUGAUACAGUAGUGUGAUCGGUAUUCUUAGGGGUGUGUAGAGGAAGGCAGAGAACCUAGACUUUGUAGGGGGUACUCAUGGAAGGCUUCCUGGAGGAAGUGACA